rnacentral:lncRNA from 1 species
UUUUUGACAAAUAGCGCGAUAGGGAGGCAUGGUGCUACUGAUAGGAUAUAACUAAUCAGGAGGCUAUAGAACAUUAAAUAGAGGCUACAUCAUCAGAUCAACAAAAGCUUCAACAACAGGACACACUGGUAGUUGUAGAGGACUAUCAUCGAUAGCACAAAACUGAAUCCUUACAUGUACAUGUCAUCUGAAAUUUCCAUUUUUAUUCAAGCUACAUUUACAGGCUGCUUUUUAGAUACAGAAAGUUGGGAGACACAUAAUCAAAGCAAGCCCGCAGAUAGUGAUAGAUGAGGCAGAAUAACUACUAUAGUGAAAGUAUCCAAGCAAUCAACCAAUGAUAGAAAUACCAUGCAAAUCUUAUCCAAAAACACAAACAAUAAAAGUUAUUAGCACUCUGCCACAGAAAUCAAAUAGGGGAGGUAUUGAUCUGAGGUUUGCAUUAUCAAUUUGUGUGUUGAUGCCAUGGACGAUCGAAGAUCGGCUACGAAGCCGAGGCACAAUCAAUGGUACCUAUGACAUCCAUGAAUCAAAAUCAUUAGUUUUCCAAAAAUGAAGUAUGGAGGCGGGGAGGAUAGGAGCACACUGCCACAGAUAACCACAUAAUCGUCCUGCAAAUGCUUGUCGUCGGCAUAAGAAUAUACUGCCACCAAAAGUCCCAAAGCCAACCGUUCCAGGACAAACCUCAACAUAUGCAGAGCGGUCAAGUACAAAAUAAUUAGUUCUCUAGCACAUAUAUCUUGAGCAGAACUCUUAAUCUGAAUCAUUUGAGGCAAUUAUCAUUCUAUAUAACCAGCCUAAUUAAUCCCCCAUGCAAAAAAAUUGUACUCUUAGCAACAAAAAAAGCGGAUAAUGGAAUAGGAAAAACACUAAAAUGUCUACUUCCAGAUUCUUUUUUUUGCGGGUUACUUCCAGAUUCAUGGGCGUGCAAGCACUACGGAGUAAAAUUGAACAAACAAAUCUAAAAUACAUGGGAUGAGAAGGAGGAGGUGAAGGAGCAGGAAGAUAGGGAGGAGCUCAC